GGGUUAAGCUGUUUUCUGUUUUCAGUUGACUAUGCUCAUCGUCUUACAAAUGGUGAAGAAAAUACAACUCAAAGUCAAAUUGUUUCACCAUCAGGUGUCCCGUCAUCGUGUGCACCUGGUAAAUCAGCAGCUCUGGAUAACCUCAAACCGGUGGCAUCAGUAGCUUCGAGUGGCAGUAACAAUGAGUCUGAACCGGUGACGCCAGGACAUUCACGCCAGGCUACAACAACCCAGAGUCUUGAGUCCAAUGGAUGCAACACACCCUCCUUGAGAUGUGGGGAAAAGCGGGAGAGGGGAUCAGACAACCCCUCUGAAGUUCCCGUGAAACGCCGUUUGAGAUUAUCAAAGGAUAACGGGAGAGAAUGUUCGCCAGAUUACGACGAGAGAUGUGCGGAGCUAUGGAUCGAUGGUGAAGUGGCUGCUUGUGAGGCUUAUGAGUUAUCAAAGUCUAGCAGCAACACCCAAGAAGUCGUUCGACAACCCGACAAUAACAGUUCUUUCAGUCAGCCUCUCACUCCGAGGGACUUUCAGCGUGUUGUUCGAGCCGAAGUGGCAGGCUGUUUUGAACCCAUCACAGACUUGAUUAGUACGAGUAUGGAGUGGAGCAGGACUGAUUUCAAUCAGGUGAUAAACAGACUUCGUACACUGCAAAGGGAUACCACAAUACUGACACAUGAAAUCCGUAAUAUGAGAGUAAAUCAAAGACUGACGUUAGACGCAAUCCCUCUAAUGAAUGAAAGAAUGAGCGUCAUUCAAAAGUGUGUGUUAGAGACGCACAAAAUGUUGACCGCUACUAGAAAAUGAUGGGUAUGUUUAUUAUAGCAUACUGAUACUGUUCCAGCCGAUUUCUGUUAAACUUUUCCUCUUUUUUUUUAUAGAAUUUUGAGUGAAUUUUUUUUUUUUUUAUGAAUGAUGUGCAUGCUUGUUUAUUAUAUUCAUUUUUGUGUGUUAUAGUAAUAGUUUUUUUUAGAAGUCAUUUUAAAAUGGUGAUUUUCAAUGACAUCCAACAAGAUAAUGAAUGGGAUUUUCCGAGUAAUGCAGAACUGUUGAAACAACUUAAAUCUGGAAAAAAAAUACUGUAUUUUACUUAAUAUUCAUCUCUGCAGUGUAUUGUGUUGUUUUAUUGUGUGCACCGAUCAUUGAUAUUUUGUGAACUGGUGAAGAGUAUAACAUUGAUUUGGUUUUUUAAAUGGCUCCUGUCAAGGGGUGGUGUAUGUUAGUCAGCAAACGAACGGUCACAGCUUGAAUUUCAUAUUUUGGAAGUUGAAAAAAAGGGCAAAUCGUGACCCCCAAAGACAACUGGGUCAGGUGAUGCAAGGAAGCAGCAUCAAGGUCAAGGACGGCCGAGGCACACUGAUGCAUGCAGGUACAGUAUGUAGACAAGCUCAUGUACACAGAGUACUGUGCAAAACUCUUUCACCAUGUCAAGGAAGCCAAUGCUAUGUUUUGUGAGUAGUUAACCUAAAACGAAAGAUUAGACCGAUUUAGCGUCAAAUAUGAUGAUGGUGCAUUACCUAUGGUAAACUCAGAUGGUCACACCUGUGAUGGGGAAGAAGAACCAAAUCAGAGAUAGAUCAAGUCCAUUCUUGAUGAAGUUUACCAUUUUAAUGAGAUCAGAACUGAACCAAAUCGUGACGGGAGUAUAUUGUUACACACCCUUUAGUAAUUUCCAAACCAUCUUUCUGUCAUUAACUGUAAUAAUGAAGUGAAAUUUGUAUGUGCAUAAGGAGACAACAGAAAGAUCUGCUUUAAUGGCCAUUAAUCCCCCACUUGAUUAAUCACAGUACAUUUAGACAAUUGGUUUAUAUUACACGUUUUCGGAAAUAUGAUGCUUGAAUAUGCAAAUCUAAUUAAAUAUCAGCAAAUUUGCAUUCAUUUCCAGACCAGAAAUCUGAAAGUUAGAUAAAGACAGGUGUAAAAUUCCACUCCGGAGCAGUAUUCAAGGCUAAAUGCAUCCCAUCAGUGUAUGUUAAACAUUAAUAAUAAUUAGAUACUACAUAUAAUUUAGUAAAAAACAAAAAAAAAUAUUAGUUGCACAUUUUAUUAACAGUUUUGUUUGCAUAUUUUGAUAACAAAACACAAUGACAGAUUGGUCUUUACAUUGCUAACACAACAUUUAAUCCUUUGUAUGAUUCAAGUCUCAUGUUAGUUAAUAAGUUUAUGGACACUGUUUAAUCUGUCUUUAAUGUCAAAUGUAGGAAAGUCUUUCCAUUUAAUAGCAUGUGCUUCACCACUAGAGGUACAUGUCUUUUCCACGCCCAAUUGACUUGUCAGAACAUUAGAUCUUUACACUGUAAAAAUAUGCCAGGAAUUUACAUGAUAUUAUUUACUCUUAUUUGCAUAUUCAUAUUCAAAGUUCUGAUCUAGUCAUGUCAGAAAUGUGACAAAUGAAAACAUUAUUUGUCCAAAAGAUGACAAGUUAGAACAUGAAAUAAGCUAAUUGCCUGACUUUAAAAUAACUAUUCUUAGCAUGACAAUGAAGGUUUUAUUUCACCAUUAUGUUUGUGGAUGGAUCUUCCACAAUAGUGAGGCAGCGACAUCAAAACUCGACUUACAAAACACACACAAAAGAUAAAUACAACACAACAUAAACAAAUAAAACCAACAUAAAAAACAACAACUCUUCAUGAUGCUUUGCAUGCUGGGUGACCUCAUGGUGCAAAUGCACUGGUAAAAAGACUGCACAAUUAAACUGGCUUGAUGGCUCUUUAUUAUGUUUUCAGAGUAUCCUUUUCUUGUGCAGUGAAUCUGUUUGCUUAUCUUAAUCUAUAAAAACCUUCAAAAGUAAACUGUUCUUUGCUUCAAGGUGCUUGUUUCACCCUAUGGUUUAGCUUGUGGUCACUGUGAUACUGACUUUAUUUAAACAUGCCCCAGGUGUGCAACAUCUGUUUGUGGUAUAGCUGGAAGAUGAUAGCACCCCUGAUCCUUUGAUCACCGCUCGCCCUUAUCUUUGUGGGAGCAGGUGAAGGGAUGCAGAACCACAAGCCUUAUUCUCCAGUUUUCAUCGGGUUCUCCACAGCACAGUCUCAUUCAGGCACUUGUCAGAGCCAUAUCCACUUCCUGUUCCAGGUGACUUCAUUUGAGAGGAGACAGGAAACACUUUGAUCUGUGGCUCAAGCGAGAGACUGAUAGAUUAGUGUUUGUUUAAGUGAAUGCAUGCUUUUGGUGAAGAGGAAUAAACCCAAAGGAAAGACAGAUCACAAAGGAGAUCACUUCGUUCUCCUAAAUAAUAAAAAUGAAAGUUGCUGCAAGUGUGGAAGCCUGUGGCUCUUUGUUCUUAAUGAAUAAACAACUUUCACAAUAAUAAAAGCUGUCUGGUUAUUUUAGCUCCGUGAGAGUUACAGGAGGUGAUAAGACCAAAUCACUCUGAUGAACAGCUUUGGCUCAGGCAUUUUUACAAUGAUUGAAAAAACAUUUGAGAUUGUGUGCGAUGAGAUGGGUACACUGGUUAGCUCAGUUAUCUGAUAACAUGAUCUGCUGAAGCACACAAAC
ensembl:lncRNA